rnacentral:lncRNA from 1 species
UUUUAAUUUAGUCGUAUGGAUUCAUAUGGAGACUCACAUACCACUAGAAUAUGUGGCUUACAUAUAUGCUACAUGCAUCUCCCUUGUUUAUGAGUUCUGCAUUCGCCAAGGAGAAUUAGUGGUUAUAACAAAACAUGAUCCUAUCAUCGGGAAGUCUCCAAGUUCGAAACCCUCUCUUCUUAAACUAAUGGUGUUAUCGAAGUCGCUAAUGCAAUGUCCUUAAAAGCUCUGUAUGUAAGUAGUUUUUCUGCAUAUUUGUGAUAUAUAAAUUCUGUUGUUUGUGUGAUCUUCUGUUCGUGAUGUAAAAAUUUCGGUUUCUUUUUCUCUUCUGUACCCUAUUCUUCGGUUCUACAUAUUGUUUGUGCAUUGGUUUGGAUGUCAGUGUGAUCAAGAGACAAGAACUUUCAUUUUUGAAGAUGAAUAACAGAUAUUUGUCACAGUAAUGUGAUUACUGCAGUGAUUCAACACAUUACUGUUGCUAUUGAAGUUCAUUUUAAUGUCCAACAAAUCAAAUGGAAGCAUGGUUUGUCUCUCAAAUCAUGUCGAACAUGAAAAUUACAUGAUGGAACUUAAUGGAAAUGAAGCAUGUCGUAACACCCGUUCCUUGUUUGUUUGAAUUUAUUUAUGUUUAUCUAUUUAAUUAUUUAUGUGUGAAUUUGUUUUAAUUAGCAUUAUUUGAAAUAAUGUAUAAUUCUAUUUAUUUUUUUUAAAAUAAAUUAUAAGGGAUUAUCUAUCUUUAUCAUAUUAUAUAUAUAUUUUUUCGGCAAAACUCAGUGAGGACACUGACUCUCUAAGCGGGUGUAUGUAACACUCUAGACAAAUCCCACAUCAACAAAGCACGGGAGAGAUUCUAGGUUUAUAAGGGGUGAUCCGCACUUUGAUUAGUAAGACGCAUUUUGGAGAGUAUGAAUGCCCUAUAAACAAAACCGUGUGGGUCUUGUUAAGGCCCAAAACGGAAAAUAUCUUGUUAGGUCUGGAUUGAGUCAUGACAUAUGGUAUUAGAGUGGCUCUGCGUGUCCGUUUGAACAAUAGUGGGGUAAACCUCAACGUAACCUCAGUGAGGACGCUGAAUCCCUAAGGAGGGGUGUAUGUAACACCCUAGGUAAAUCCCAUCCAACAUCGACAAAGCACGGGAGAGAUGUUGGGUUUAUAAGGAGUGAUCAACAUCUUAAUUUGUAAGACGUGUUUUGAGGUGUUUAGGUGCGUUUUGGGAUGUAUUGGCAAGACUUUUUUUGGGGGGAAGAGGUAACCUUAGUGAGGACAUUAAGUUCUUAAGGGGGUAUAUGUAACACCUUAGGCAAAUAUCACAUCGACAAAGCACGAGAGAGAUAUUAGAUUUAUAAAUGAUGACUCACACCUUAAUUGACAAGUCACGUUUUGGGGUAUAUAGGCACCCUAGAAACAAAAUCAUGCGGGCCUUAUUAAGGCUUGCCAAGUCUGGGUUGGGCCAUGACAGAUGAUAUUAAAGUGGCUUUGCAUGUCCAUUUGAAUAAUAGUGGGGCAAACCUCAGCGAGGACGCUGAGUCCCUAAGGGGGGUGUAAGCAAAUUUCAUCCCACAUCGACAAAUCAUGGCAGAGGUGUUGGGUUUAUAAGGAUGAUUUACAUCUUAAUUGACAAGACGCAUUUUUGGGUGUAUGGAUGCAUUUUGGGGUGUAUUGGUAGGACAAUUUUUUUUUUUUGACAAACCUUAGCGAGGAUGCUGAGUUCCUAAGGGGGUGUAUGCAUUUUGGGGUGUAUUGGCAAGACAAUUUUUUUUUUUAACAAACCUUAGCGAGGAUGCUGAGUUCCUAAGGGGGUGUAUGUAACACCUUAGACAAAUCCCACAUCGAUAAAACAUGGGAGAGAUGUUGGGUUUAUAAGGAGUGAUCUACACUUUAAUUGGCAAAAUGCGUCUUGAGGUGUAUAGGUGCUCCAAAAACAAACCCGUGCAGGCCUUGUUAAAGUCCAAAUCAGACAUACCUUACCAAGUUUGAGUUAGGUCAUGACAAAUGAUAUCAGAGCGGCUUCGUGUGUCCUCUUGAACGAUGGUGGGGGCAAACCUCAAUGAGAACGCUAAGUUUCUAAGGAGGGGGGUGUAUGUAACAUCUUAGAUAAAUUCUACAUCGACAAAGCACGGGAAAUAUACUGGGUUUGUAAGGGGUGACCCACACCUUAAUUGCCAAGACGCGUUUUGAGAUGUAUGGACGCCCCAAAACAAAACUAUAUAGGCCUUGUUACGAUUCAGAGUGAACCACAUCUUGUCAGGUCUAGAUUGGACCAAGACACAUGCUAUGCAAGUGAAUAUGUGUGAUCAUCAUUUCCCUAAUGUCGGAAAAUGAUCAAGAAAUCCAUCAUCAGAUUGACAAAUUAGGACCUAAAGUUAGAACAAAGAAAAAGAGGAGGACAGGGAUAUGAAAGAAGGGAAACUGACAUUUAGCACGAUUAUCAAAAACCACGAAUGGUAGCACAUAGUUAGAAAGCUCUUACACUUCAAAAGGAUUGAAGGAAAGAAAGACUAUAGCUUAUAAAAAUUCCUUGUAUGACGAGCUUCGGCUUGUGGUCAUGCUGGAGCUAUCAGGAACAAGAUAUAUUGUUUUCAACUCUUGUAAACAUGACCAGGCAUGGAACCUUGUUCAUGAUUGAAGACUGCAGAAUCUUUCAAGGACCGUCUUGCUGGAUAUGGAAGUGAAAAUGCAGGCUGUAGAAUGAUUAGCAGUUCCCCAAUGCAAACAUCUGCACAUUAUAAAAUUCAGAUUUGGUGCUAUAACACUUUGGAUUACUGUAAUUUGACACUAUAUUAUAGUCAUUGUAUACGGCCAACUCUAGAUUUUAUAACAUGCAGACAUCAGUGAUGGAGGACUCGGAGAAUGAUAGUCCAAGAAUUCCCAGCAAAGGUACUCAGGAGUUUCAGGAGUUAAAACUGGUUGUAAGUUCAGUAUUUUCAUGUCUAGAGGCAAAAGGCUUUAAGAUGCAAGUUCACCACUAUUCACAAUCACUGCUAGAAGUCAAUAACUUUAUUCUAAUGACGAAAAGGAAAACUAAAAUUCGUAACAAAUUUCCCCCCACAUAACCCUGUUGGAAUGAUAAAUAAGUCUGAUAGUUAUUAUGCUGUCAUGAAUGGAAAUGAACACAGGAUUGUUGUAUACUUGUAUAUAGAAACUCGACCUUCCUUGCAUAAUUCUCAAACCACAUUAAGAUCAAAUUAUCAGACAAUUGGAACAGUGGCAGAAGAGAGAUAAGAUAAAGAAAUCUCGGAACAUUAUCAUUUUGUCAGUAAAAAGAAUGAUAUCCAUAUCUACAAUAAACAGUUGACUACAUGCUGCUGGGACAUAUAACUCUUUAAAAGCCACAUUAUUUCUAAGGACUGAGUCAAAUAAAUGUACAAGAACCAGAAAAGAUUUCAGUGUCCUAAACAUACCAAAUUCUGUGCAAACUCCUGUCGUUCUGUCCUGUUAUUAGAAUUCAGAUUGCUACUCUAAAUAAAGGAACCAACAUGAAUUUUUCUGUCAUCCAAUUAAAAUUAUCAGAACUGCCUGUCACUCGAAAACUGCACAAAUAAGCAAGCAUUUAAUCACUCCUCUUAAAACAACAAUUUCAUAAUGUAGCACUUUAACGUAAAGUUAAUGCAGUCACCAAUGUAUACUCACAGGCUGGAUUACUAGAUUCAUUCUCAUUUUUUCUGGAUGAAUUGUAAGUUACAGGACCAUUAACUUCCGAGGCUUGACAAUUAUCCUGCACCGCAGCUGGCUCUGCAGAACCUUCAUUUGUUGCUUCGCACUGAAAUUGGAAAUAAUGUAAGUUAGAUUAGAUCCAGGAAGACUAAAAGCAGAAGAAAAAAGGAUUCAAAUAUCCAGGUAGUAGGUUUUCCUGAUAUCCAUGUAUUAGUGAUAUCAAGGAGUUAUUGCUUGUGCAAUUGACAUUCCAUCCUAGAAGAGGGUAAUAUCGA